rnacentral:rRNA from 1 species
UACGUAGGGUGCAAGCGUUAAUCGGAAUUACUGGGCGUAAAGCGUGCGCAGGCGGUUUUGUAAGUCUGUCGUGAAAUCCCCGGGCUCAACCUGGGAAUGGCGAUGGAGACUGCAAGGCUGGAGUACGGCAGAGGAGACUGGAAUUCCUGGUGUAGCAGUGAAAUGCGUAGAGAUCAGGAGGAAUACCGAUGGCGAAGGCAGGUCUCUGGGCUGAUACUGACGCUCAUGCACGAAAGCGUGGGGAGCAAACAGG